UUCGGUUGUGAGCUAUGCAUCAGCAUCCAAACGGGAACCGUAGUCUGCGACAGACGACAGCAGUACCAGUGAGUCGUUUAAUAUUGCUGCCUGAAUCCUUGUGCAAUAGUGCUACCAUUAACUUUCAGGCGGAGAUAACUAACUAUAUCCUGCAUUACAUAUCUGCUGUCAGGACUUUCAGUUGUUAUCGAAAUAAACCUUUGGUUGCGAAUAUUUGUGAGUCAGAGUUUACUUCUAAUUAUUGUCUUCCUUUGUUGCCCUAUUUGUUCACAUCAAGGAUAUUUUGUACGACAGUGGGUGUCAGAAACGCCGCACACUCGCAGAAGGCGGUCGUUAUACACACAAAAUCUCGAAAAAAGAUAUCGGAACUUGCGUCGCUUUUUUCACCUUGUAUCUGUGGGCAUGGACGACUGAGUGGCUCAUUUUCGUGUCCACUGACAACUUUUUUCUUUUGGCAAAUUGAAGUGAAAGUAUUGAAUUUAAUGCAUUAAAGAGUUGCACGGAUGAUAAUUCAAAAAUAUUUCAUUGUUGUUGGUUCCAAGUUCUUGUGUGUGUUUAGUUUGGUUUACCUUAGGGCGUUUAUUUUUGCAAUAGGGAACCGGUACAUGAUGUUCGUGGAAAGAAAAAUACAUAUAAAGUCCUAAUAGCUUCAUGUCUUUCAUGCGUUUGCUUGUUGAACUAGUAGUGUGACCACUCCUAGUGUAUAAAUGAGCCCAUAAAUGCUGUCAUUUGUGAUCCUAAUAAUACUUAAGCUGUUGACGCACAUUGUAGUUAGGCAGACAUCAAUGUUAUGAACAGUAGCAAUAUUUAUUGAACCCCACAAAGCCUAACGCAUCAUUUUAUAUGCUAAAUUUUUUGCCUGACAAAUCUGAUUUUGUGCUCUACACCCAAUGUGCAGCCUACAUUCUAGAGGGAGUGUUCAGUUGUGAAUAGUUCAGAAAAUUAGUAAAAUUCUCAUACUAAUUCAUUUUUACUGAAUUAUAAUUUUGCUGCUUUCCUCACACUUAUUACUCUGUGACCAGAAAUACAUGUGAGCAAUUUUUUUUUUUUUGACGUGGAGCGGUGUUCGAGCUUUCUGGGGUUAACAUGCUGCUUAAGCAUCCUAGAACAAACAGUGCACGUUUGCAUGUUUUCUGCCGUCAUAAACGUUACAUUGUAACAGCUUUUUGCAUUUCACACAACGAAAUUUUUCUUUAAUUUUUGAUGAAGUCAAUAUUUUUUUUCCCAGACACGCAGUAAAAAUGAUGGUGCCUGUGUAAAGCAGGGCACUCCACGCAUUGAAGAGAAGCUACUGUUUUCUACAACACGGCCACUGUGUGGACUUUGGCUGCUGCUACAAGAGCCUGUCCCAAGCACGUCUCGACCCAGUCAGCACGACCCAGUCAGUCGUUCAAGAGUCUGCGCCAAGUACAUCUUGGUCCUCAUCGCAGGAGCUGCCAUUUACACCUACAGAAAGGGGCUGGAGCCAAAUUUGGAAGGCUUUUACCCCAUGAAGAAACAAGAGAAACAUGAAGAAAUAUUUGGAUGAAAUGGCAUGCAUAUGGAGUUCCGUGUCAAGACUGAAAACAGCCUCGGCCAUCAUCCCACCAGCGCGGAUAUCGGCCCAGUCAUCCACUUACCUCAACAAAGACUUUUUAGAAAUUCAUUGUGUUCAUAUGCCAGUUUGCCCUUCACCUCUAUUUCAGUAGCCCAAAGGCAUACAGGUACCUGGCAAAAACCCUUAGCGUUCCAACAGUAAAAAUGUUAAGAACCUGGCUAUCUGCAAGAUCACUCAAGACUGGAUUUAUGCCAGACAUUAUGGAUAUUGUAAAAGAUAAAACAAAAAAAGAGGGAUUUGAUGCACAGGGCAUGUGUCUUCAUCUUUGAUAAAAUGUCUCUGAAAUGAAACCUGCA